UAAAUAUAAUUUUAAGUUAUUCUUUAAGAAUUGUAUACAUAUAUAUAUGUAUACAAUUCUUAAAGAAUAACUUAAAAUUAUAUUUAAAAUUAU
rnacentral:miRNA from 1 species